rnacentral:rRNA from 1 species
AUUGAACGCUGGCGGCAUGCUUUACACAUGCAAGUCGAACGGUAACAGGCCGCAAGGUGCUGACGAGUGGCGAACGGGUGAGUAAUGCAUCGGAACGUGCCCAGUCGUGGGGGAUAACGCAGCGAAAGCUGCGCUAAUACCGCAUACGAUCUAUGGAUGAAAGCGGGGGACCGUAAGGCCUCGCGCGAUUGGAGCGGCCGAUGUCAGAUUAGGUAGUUGGUGGGGUAAAGGCUCACCAAGCCAACGAUCUGUAGCUGGUCUGAGAGGACGACCAGCCACACUGGGACUGAGACACGGCCCAGACUCCUACGGGAGGCAGCAGUGGGGAAUUUUGGACAAUGGGCGCAAGCCUGAUCCAGCAAUGCCGCGUGCAGGAAGAAGGCCUUCGGGUUGUAAACUGCUUUUGUACGGAACGAAACGGUCCUGGUUAAUACCCGGGGCUAAUGACGGUACCGUAAGAAUAAGCACCGGCUAACUACGUGCCAGCAGCCGCGGUAAAAC